rnacentral:lncRNA from 1 species
CUAUGGGUCACCGUUCGGCCUUCAACAAUGAACAAAGCCCAUACCGCAUAGUCAGCUUUAAAAGGCCCUGAUAAGACAAUGUAAAACAAUUCAAACGAGAAAACUAACGGCCUUAUUUAUGUAAAAAAAAAAAAAAAAAUGAACGAAAAACAAAUAUGUAACACAUAAACAAACGACAACCACUGAAUUACAGGCUCCUGACUUGGGACAG